UGGGGGAUAUUGCACAAUGGAGGGAACUCUGAUGCAGCGACGCCGCGUGAAGGAAGAAGGCCUUCGGGUCGUAAACUUCUGUCCUUGGGGAAGAAAUAAAUGACGGUACCCUUGGAGGAAGCCCCGGCUAACUACGUGCCAGCAGCCGCGGUAACACGUAGGGGGCGAGCGUUAUCCGGAAUUACUGGGCGUAAAGAGUGCGUAGGUGGCUUUUUAAGCGCGGGGUCUAAGGCUAUGGCCUAACCAUAGUCCGCCCUGCGAACUGGAGAGCUUGAGUACAGGAGGGGAAAGCGGAAUUCCUAGUGUAGCGGUGAAAUGCGUAGAUAUUAGGAGGAACACCAGUGGCGAAGGCGGCUUUCUGGACUGAAACUGACACUGAGGCACGAAAGCGUGGGUAGCAAACAGG
rnacentral:rRNA from 1 species